UAAUAACGGGUUCGUCACGUGUGUUAUCCGGACAACCGUUCUGCUCAGGUUCAGGCUCCGGCAGGCCUGACGGAUACUGAGUCCGAAUGCCGUUAUCAGAUGAGUGACCAGCUCACGCUUAAAGGCUGGUUUU
rnacentral:sRNA from 1 species